CCGAUAACGAACGAGACCUCAGCCUGCUAACUAGCUAUGUGGAUGUACAUCUCCACGGCCAGCUUCUUAGAGGGACUAUGGCCGCUUAGGCCAAGGAAGUUUGAGGCA
rnacentral:rRNA from 1 species